rnacentral:rRNA from 1 species
AAUACUUUCAGCGAUGGAUGGCUUGGCUCCUGCUUCGAUGAAGAACGCAGCCUACUGCGAUACGCAGUAUGAUUUGCAGAACUCAAUGAAUUCUUAGCUUUUUGAACGCAAAAGGCGCUUCUUUUUAACUUAAAAGGAAGCGUGUUCACUUCAGAACAACA